UAGUGUUACAGCUGUUUUAGAAUUUGUUUGGCAGGUUUUCGGGUCCACACCGGAAAAAAACCCAC
ensembl:snRNA U7 U7 small nuclear RNA